UACGUAGGGUGCAAGCGUUGUCCGGAAUUACUGGGCGUAAAGGGUGUGCAGGCUGCCCCUCAAGUGGUGUAUGAAAGGGCUCGGCUCAACCGGGCUAGGUUAUGCCAGACUGAGGGGCUAGAGAGCGAGAGCGGGACGUGGAAUUCCGGGUGUAGUGGUGAAAUGCGUAGAGAUCCGGAGGAACCCCAGAGGCGAAGGCGGCGUCCUGGCUCGCAUCUGACGCUCAGACACGACAGCAUGGGGAGCGAACGGG
rnacentral:rRNA from 1 species